UAUAUACUCCCUCUGUCCGGAAAUACUUGUCAUCAAAAUGGAUAAAAGGGAUGUAUCUAGAUGUUUUAGUUUUAGAUACAUCCCUUUUUGUCCAUUUUAAUGAGAAGUAUUUUCGGACGGAUGGAGUAUAAU
rfam:Triticum aestivum genome assembly, contig: Triticum_aestivum_CS42_TGACv1_scaffold_471107_6AL